rnacentral:rRNA from 1 species
UUCUGACCGGUGCAAAGGUAGCGUAAUCACUUGUCUUUUAAUUAAAGACUAGUAUGAAUGGCCUAACGAGGACUUAACUGUCUCCUUAAUCUAAUCAGUGAAACUGAUUUCCUCGUGCAGAAGCGAGAAUAAACCCAUUAGACGAGAAGACCCUAUGGAGCUUUAAACUUAAAUUAACCACUUACCACCUCCAUCCAAGGAGCUAAUUUUAAAUAUUGUGGAUUUAAUUAAAGUUUUAGGUUGGGGCGACCAUGGAGCAAAAAAAACCCUCCCUGAUGAUUUUAACCAAGAGCCACAACUCCAAGUAUUAAGACCCUUACUCCUAUUGACCCACUUUGUGACCAACGAACCAAGUUACCCUAGGGAUAACAGCGCCAUCCAUUUCAAGAGUUCCUAUCGACAAAUGGGUUUACGACCUCGAUGUUGGAUCAGGGCAUCCAAGUGGUGCAGUCGCUACUAAAGGUUCGUU